AGAGAGGGGAGAGAGAGAGAAAGAGAACAGCAUCCACUCUCAUACUCUCUUUUGAUGACCGACAUAACAUAUAAGUGGAUUGAUUGGUUAGUUAGAACCAUACUAGUUUGGAGUAAAACAUGUUAUUUUAAAUUUUAUCUCCGCCUCUAUCACUAGAGAUACACACAUAACGCACACACGCAAGUAUUGGUAAAAGUGUGACAAAAAACUGUUGUAUUUACAGUUGUAAAUUUUUUUGCGGAAAAACUACAUCGAUGUCCCAGUCUGUACAGUUGGAUUGAUUUGGAACUUACUCGCACCCUAUAAACAUGCAAGGACAACAUCAACAACUACCUUAGUUACUUCUUUACUCGUGGAACUACAAAUUUAUUCUUUUGGUAAUCAUCUGACCUUUAUAGAAGCAUUUCAUUCUUAUUAUUUGUUAUAAUCGGUGUUGUUGUUUUUUUUACACUGUACAAUGGAAUAUUGGAUAAUCCUUGUUAUUUAUAUAAUCGCCAUGUUUCUGUUGAUAUCUGGUUGGCAAUAUUAUGGCACGCGGCUUGACAGAAGUACAUCGUCAAUCAGUUGCAGCAGCCUUCAGUCUAAUGUACCAAGGCUAGUUCCUUCAUCUCCUUCAAAACCAAUCAUAACUUCAGCACCUGAUUUAUGUGCCAAACUGAAUGUCUAUGAAGUAUGAGGAGAAAAACCAAACCAUGAUAUCUCACUCUUUUACACACCUAUGGGCAAAAUUCUUCUUUGCAUCAUGUAUUAUUCUACAUUGGUAUCUGACAAAGCUGAUGUCUAAGUUGAAGCAGUCGAUCCUGUUAUACUGUAAACUACAUUUCUAUACAAGUUUCCAUUACACACAAAAAGAAAAAUGAAAUACAUUAAUAAUUCUAUGGAUGAAGAUUUAACAGCAACUAUAAAUUAUUAACUUUCAUAUGAAAAAAAUAAGCUUCCCAAAUAACCUUUAGAUGUAUUGUGGUUCUGCUGUUGAUCUCUUUACUUGAUGUUUGAAAUUAGAAUAAGUUAAAAAUAACUUAUAAAGAUGUCGUUUUAAAUACUUUUACUUUUGUUUCUUUAAAUUUGGACCCCAAAAAAAUAACAAAAAAUGUCAUUUAAGACAAUGAUUUUUUUAUACUACUGACUUAAAUUUCUAACCUGAAAAUUCAGCAUUAUAUAUAAUAUAUACAAUGGUUCAUUUUAGAUUUAUAUUUAAUGACAUAAUAACCUGUGAUUUUUUCAUAUAGUUCUUUUGUGUAUUUAGAUUAAUGCUUCUCACCAACAGUUGAAAGAACCAAGACAGCCUUUAUGUAGUAGCUGGACCUGCUAGUAAUAGCAACCAAAUCUCCCUUAAAUCACAUCAUGUCAUCUUAAAGUGUACAUUUAAAUACAUUCCUAUCAGUGACAGGACAAUAAUGAUCAGAGGGCUGCUCAAUCUGGACUGGAUUAGGGAUAGCAGCUGUUGACUGAAUUGUAGGUGUGUACAGUCAUAUGUAAUAUCUGUGUACACUUGGAUAAAGAAAGACAUACAUAGCAGAAAAUGUCUGGAAAGAAAGAAAUUCUUGUAGACAAUAUGUGUGAAAAACAACCAUUGGGCAGCAUAUGUCUGACUAGGUCUGAGUGUACACAAACUUGUUAAAUAUGAUUGUACACAUCUAUAUUUCAUUUAUUCCUGCUUGGUCCACCUCUGAGUAAUUAAUUCCAGCUUGACAUAAACUCUGCUUACAUCAGCAAAUGUAAAUGUGUUACUCUAAUGUAAGAACAAGUUCUUAGUGGCUAGGAACAAUGACUCUGUACCUGCAGCUGAUGAGAUGUAAUGAUGCAGAACCACAUGCAUCCUACAUUUCAGUGAGAUCAUUCAUAGCCAAAUGGUGGAUUGAAAAGGAGAAUUCCUUCUCUUGAGAGAAUUUCUGCAGUGUACAUGAACAUGUUAAAUAUGAUUGUACACACCUAUAUUUCAUACACUGCUUAGUGCACCCCUAAUUAAUGUUGACUGAGUUAUUUAGAAUACCUUUUUUUUUUUAAAUUUCAUUUUCCAUAAGCUUUUUUGCAUGACAAAAAAAUCAUAUAUUCAUUUGAGAUUUAAAAAGUUUAAGAAACCAAACAGAUAAAGUUAAAUUUCAUUAAUAUGGAUGAUAGGAUGACUUUCAUAACUUUAAACUGCAGUGAAGAUAUUAAAAUAUGAUGAGCGUGAGGAGUGGUAUGGACAAUUCAGUUAUGCCUCUUUGUUUUGAUUUCAAAUACUGCCUGAGUUGAUUUUGUCAUUUAUCCUUCUUGGGUCAAGUAAACAGGUACCAGUAAUAUAAUAUCAUUAACCAAAUUGACCAUAUUUCUUCUCUGGAAAUAUGUGGCCUUGUGUCAAUGUUAGUAAUUAAUAAGUAACUAAUAUUAUGCUACCACAAUGUAAUUGUUCAAAAUUACUAACCAAUAAACAACAUCACAUACAAAAUACAUUAAAGAUUUUUUCAUGUUUCCUUGAUAAAGAAUCUUGUAUCAAAAACAUAUUUUGAUUGUGAGGCUGGGUUUUUUUUAGUCCAUAAUUUCCUGUUACAGCAACUUCUUGGAUUUGUUUCCAAGGUUACUAUUGUGACAUAAGUGCUUUCAGAGAGAAUCUAGCUGCAGUGUGUAAAACAGGAUACAGUUGCAGCACUGUCUAGGUAUUUAAAGAAUUUGUAUACUUCAAGCAAAUUAGAUUUAGGUUCAACAGAGCUCAUAGAGGGAAAUAAAUAUAUUCUUUGUCAUACAAUGAUAUUCUUUUCAAUUUCCAAUCAGAAUUCCUUCACUUUCAUUGAAUCCAUGUCUUAGUUCUAUAUUUCAUCUCUUAUGAAUGUUUGUGAGAAAUCCUUUAAAUCUCUUCAGAUAUUUCAUAUUGUUGCUUUACAAUUAGAAAUUUUGUUGUUUAGGAUUGACUUCAUCCAUUCAUUUUACAUUAGUCAGAAACCAUUUCUAAAUGCCAUUACACUGUAAUGGAACUUAUUGCAUUUCAUUUCUUUCUCUUUCAGUUCAUAUAAGAAAGAUCUUCCUUCUUUCUUCUUUUAUUUUUCUCUGUUAGAUUUAUAAAGGGUUAGAAGCCUAUGUCAUCAUGAGACAUUAAACAACCCAUAUGUGUGUGUGUGUGUAAUAUUAUAUGUAUGUAUAUAUAUAUACACACACACACAGAGUUAUUCUAUUUCUAUAUGGACUAAAACUUUUCCUUUGUAAAAUGAAAUGUUUAAUUUAAGGAAUCCUUUUUUAAAGGGAUUUGAUGUAUAAGUCAUAAACCUCUGACAGAUCUCCUUCACCCAUACUUCUCAUUUGAUUACAUAGAAGACUAGAAACAUUGUUAACUUGAUAUGACUAUCUUAUUGACCUAGUUAUAGUUUAUGAAACAUUUGAAAAGGACCAACUGAAAUUUAAAAAACCUACCAUUUUUACAAAUUAUAACUAUGUCAAAAAUAUUUCUUGUCUUGAGAUUAAUAAUGAUAGCGUUGAAAUAUGAAAGAAUUUGAUAAAAAAAGAUAUAUAAUCAUCAAUAAGAAUGUGUGUGUGUGUGUGUGUGUGUGUGUGUGUGUGUGUGUGUGUGUGUGUGUGUGUGUGUGU